GAUGAACGCUGGCGGCGUGCCUAACACAUGCAAGUCGAGCGAUCUUCUUCGGAAGAGAGCGGCGGACGGGUGAGUAACGCGUGGGUAACCUGCCCUGUACACACGGAUAACAUACCGAAAGGUAUGCUAAUACGGGAUAACAUAAGAAAUUCGCAUGUUUUUCUUAUCAAAGCUCCGGCGGUACAGGAUGGACCCGCGUCUGAUUAGCUAGUUGGUGAGGUAACGGCUCACCAAGGCGACGAUCAGUAGCCGACCUGAGAGGGUGAUCGGCCACAUUGGAACUGAGACACGGUCCAAACUCCUACGGGAGGCAGCAGUGGGGAAUAUUGCAUAAUGGGCGAAAGCCUGAUGCAGCAACGCCGCGUGAGCGAUGAAGGCCUUCGGGUCGUAAAGCUCUGUCCUCAAGGAAGAUAAUGACGGUACUUGAGGAG
rnacentral:rRNA from 1 species